CUUCCGAUAGAACAUGGCUCUCAUGCAGAUCGCGAUGUUUGAGACUUAUAUUUAUGUAUUUGUCGAUUUCACGCGUCCGUCGUGGUAUGUCCAGUUACGUCGGCGUGCACUUCUCCUCUAGUAGAACGUCGCGACCCGCUGGGUGUCGAUUUAUGGGCCAAGAUCGUCGACUGUAACACCGUGUUCUCGGUGUUACAGACGCUUGGAUAUUUACCAGAUCGGCUGCUCGGCGGUACACGAGGAAAGGUAUCGAGCCGCAUACGAAUGCGUUCAGACUCGUCGCAAGCCCGACCAGAUAUGUGUGCAAAACACACAUUGACCCCCCUGGAUGUUGCGGACCUAGCGCCGUCACCGGGAUUGGUUGGCUGUUGGUUGACGAUGUUCUCGAACCGGCUCAAAAUAAUUUAUUAUUAUUCUUACCGGUCGGCGACGCUACUGCUUUGGGUACUUUCAGGACCCGUCUUGAAACACGGACCAAGGAGUCUAACAUGUGCGCGAGUCAUUGGGACAUAAAAACCUAAAGGCGCAUUGAAAGAGAAGAUCGACCUUGCGUCGAUUAAGGGAGGAUGGGUAACUCUUGUCAGGGUUGCUUCGCACUCCCGGGGCGUUUCGAUGUCAUUGCGACAUGAGGCGCACCCAGAGCGUACACGUUGGGACCCGAAAGAUGGUGAACUAUGCCUGGUCAGG
rnacentral:rRNA from 1 species